rnacentral:lncRNA from 1 species
UAAAAAGGAAGAAAGAAGAAAAGGGGCAAGUCACUCCUAGGGGCUGCACUAAACCUAACAUAAAAGAAUAAGCAUGAUUGAGUCAAAAACCUUUCUCUUAACCAUGGUAGGUGAAAGGAAACAAGGAAAGGAGAGGACGACCUUGGUGCAUGUACUCUAUACUGUGAUACUUCAGCUUAGGAGUCUAGGGGGGGCUGAUUAAGUGGUACUUAGGCUCAAAGGAAAAAGGAAC